rnacentral:rRNA from 1 species
UAGGGAAUCUUCCGCAAUGGACGAAANCCUGACGGAGCAACGCCGCGUGAGUGAUGAAGGCUUUCGGGUCGUAAAACUCUGUUGUUAGGGAAGAACAAGUACGAGAGUAACUGCUCGUACCUUGACGGUACCUAACCAGAAAGCCACGGCUAACUACGUG